UGUACUUAUCACUUCUUAUCUUCUGCAUGAAACAAUUUAAAAUAAUAAAGCAGUAAAUGUGUAGAAUAAACGUAGAGUUAAAAUUGAAAUGGAGUACAAGAAGAAACUUCAUGAAACUUUACCACUCAGUAAAUUUGUUCUAAAGUCGGAGCUCAACACUUCCAGCGCUUUGAAAAGACUCCAUCACACGUCAGUCACAUGAUCACUAAUCUGAAAAUGAGCUCAAACCAACCAGUUUGGCUCCAGUUUUUAUCUAAGAGCCCCAGUGGGUGUGAAACAGCUACUGUAGCUCCAUUCAGAGAUGAUAUCAGCCAGCCUUCCCUGUGCCCAUCUAUUCUUCCUCAUGGCUUUUAUUCAAGUUUGAUUAUGAAAGCUGAACAUGUCCUUUUAACCAGUGCAAAGCUCUGCAGCAUUCCUCAGAGUAUUCUGCUGUCUAAGGCCUUCGUGAGGGGAAAACAUUGAACCAUUGGACUUAAACACCACACCCAUGAGGUAAACACACUCCUUGCUAGUAUGAAACCUAUUAUUACACACUCCUGUGCACACAAAGUAUGUGCUAAACGUGCACAUUCAUGUGGUAUGUAACUAAUGCUGGGCUGUGCUGAGAAUGCUGCCGUUUUAAGAUUAGGAAGUAAAGAGAAACCGGAGCAGGGCUCAGGAGUGGGAGGGCUGGGCUGAUGAAUAACAGUUGUGACGUUACAUUUUCCUGUUUAACAGCUAGUCCUGUUAUCUAUUCAUGCCAAUUUAUGCAGCAGGAGUCACCUGAUCUGCUGUCAGUAAGAACACAGGAGUGGCUGGAUAACUUCCAUUACAGAAGAAAAGCUGUAAGUAUGAGCAGAAAGUUUUUUAUUUAAUUCUUAAACUGUGAAACAGAUCAGGUCAAGCAGCAUCAAUUAAUUCAAAAGAGGAACAGCACAUGUGCACCACUUAUUGGACAGUUGUUUAGAUAGCCGGCUUGCUGCACAAAGCUAAAUCCUGAGUAUUCAAAGAGUACAGUAAUAACACAUGUAAAAUGUUGCUAGUUGUUUGCAUUUGAAAUGUAACAAGCUUUACUUGUGUGCUUAAGACUAUCCUCUAAAAAAACAGCCGCCUGUUUGUGCACUUGUUGACUGAAUGCAUUUAAUUGGUGCCUUUACAUAAGCUGCUUCCUCUUUAGUUUUGUAGCUUUCAGCGUAGUUAAAAUCCACUCACUGCCCGAUCAGCUUGUUCCAAGUAUGGAAUAAAUCUUUAUGAUGACUGAAGUUUGUAAUGAUUGACCCAGUUAGAUCUGUAUAUGGCCUAAAAGCCUUUACUGUGUUUGCACUGGAAUGUGUUCUUAAGGGAGUUUGGAGUACAAUGCCUGUUCUUGGCUGGGGAGAUUCAUAUAAAUCCCUUUGUGUAGUGACUACGUAGCAGUUGUCAAACUUAGCUCACUAUAAAGAUUUUAAAAAGGUGUAAAAAGUUGGCUGUGUCUCGCUGUGGCUUCACGUUACUUGGAUAAGAAACCCCCACUGCUGUUUUUACACCUUGGUUUAUGGAGUAGAUUAAACAAAUAAUAUGAAAAGUUAACAUUAGUGAGCUGGCUGGCUGAUUCUGGUACUUCUGGAGAGAAGCAGUAAUUAUGCAAAGCUAAGGGCAGUAAACUUUCAUUUGUUUACCACAAAUUUAGCUAAGCUGGUUCUUUAACAAAGGGCGUAAAGUUCAGUUUUUACUAAUUGUAGUUAUUUGGUAAUAACUGCCAGGUUGGGUUUUCUUCAGGAGCUGCUUUCCUCAUAUUCUCCUGUGGUUGCAGUUCUUCCAACACCACUAUGUUUGUGAGCAUUUAACCCUUUAACAACCCUUUAACAUCUAAAUCAUUAUGAUAAUCACAACCCUUAAACCCGUCUACUAGUCUACCUCAGGACCCCUAAUUGCUUAACACACAAGAAGAUCUUGAGUGCAACAAUACCCUAUAACUCAAGGCCCAGCAGUGACAUAUGAUCUCCUGUGCAUUGCUUUUAUUUCCCUCUUUGCCAAAUUAAUAUCAGAUCGGAUUGGGGAAGCCAAAAAAAACCACACAGCCUUUGCCCCUCACCACCUGCUAUUAACAUCUAAUCCCAACUCUGAACUGGGACAAUCAGAAAAUGGACUUUUUAUUAAAUUGUUCUCUUCAGUUUUGUCCAUUAGGCAACAAAUGUGAACCAAGAGAGGGAACAAAGCCUGUUUUUGCUUUCCCCGAAUUAUAGGGCAAGGGUGAAAUUAGGGUCAAUAAGGGUUAGAAAUAGGGACUCACACCUCAGAAGGUUAAGACAGAAACAUAUACUGUAUAUAAAUGAUGCACAUGAUCUUUCUGAUCUAAAAAUCAAAGCCAAUUUCUACUAGAAAAGUCACCCUUGGUUUCUCAGACUGUCAUCACACUUCUCACAUUCACUAUGGAAACACCAAGAUGGUGAUAGAGGCAAAAAAAGCACUAAGAGUAAAGCUUCAAGGCAGGACCAACCAAUGAGAUGGUGACAAGCUGGCUACGUUCAUGCAGAAACUGAAACAACGUGGACUAAAAACCCAAAACAAACAAACCAAAAAAAAAACCUGAACACUUGUCAGAGCUGACUUGUCGGAGUUACUGCUCAUAAAUGACAGCAGUUAACUCGUGUAACUUGAUACCAUAUUUCAAUUGAUACAUUUUAUCUUAAAUAAAAUAAUUAAAAACGUAUUAAUUUUAACCAUUAAUAUCAAAUGUACCCAUUUCAUUGCAGAAUUUCCAAAUAUCUGGAUUCACCUUAAAUGACCUUGCAUAUGUAUUUUUCCAGUCUUGCCUUUAAAAUAAAAACAAAUUACAAAAGUCUUUAAUGUUUCUGUCAUGAUCCUGGGUCGUUGACCCAGCGUUGUGUUUCCUUGGAUUUCAUUUUGUGUUUUGAGUUUAUUCUGAUUUUGUAUUAGUUUAGGGUUGAACCUGGAGUUUAGUGUUUUAUCAGCCCUACCUGUGUCUGUCCUCGGUGCUCACCCCACAGCCGGAUAUUGGGACUUCAGAACUGCCGGCUGUGGUGAGUGAGAAGGACCCUUUUUCUGUUUUGGACUGUGGGACAGUUUAUUCAGGGGCUUUGUUUUGUGCAACAGAUAACAAGGAGAACUGUUUGUUGCUUGUUCAUUCUCCUGCUCAGCUGUCUUUACCUCGUUUAGCUGCCCAGCCACAAGCUCGUUUAGCUGCCCAGCAGCAUUCAGCUCAGCCUCCGGUAUCCCCGCUAGCCCAGUCAUCUAUGCAAUCUCUGUCUUCACCGACUCCCUCUGUACGGGAGGCUGUGUCUGUGCCUCCCAUUUUGGACUCUUUUUCUAGUACGUAUUUUUUGGAGAGAGACGAACACGUUGAAAAUGUAAUUGUUCCUCAACAGCUGGCUGGUUUAGAGACUGUUACUUGCUCCAGGGCCUCACCAGAGGUUAAAUUACAGCCCUCAGCUGACUCUGGACCCCUGGAGGCUAAGAACCCAGCUGAGGACUGCACCCGGCUGUCGCUGCCUGAGCGGGGUCGGUGCAGCUGCAGUCUGCUCUGUGUUUGCCAGAGGCCCGUGCGCCUGCCGGUCCUGCUCUGUCCCUGCCAGAGGCCCGUGCGCCUGCCGGUCCUGCUCUGUCCCUGCCAGAGGCCCGUGCGCCUGCCGGUCCUGCUCUGUUCCUGCCAGAGGCCCACGUGCCUGCUGUUUCAGCCCUGCGUGUGCCAGGGGCCCUGGUGCCCGCUGGUUUUGGGACUGUUUUCGCUGGGGGGCCCGAGGAGCCCGUCCAGCAACCUUCCUCGUCAGCUGGAGGGCCCGAGGAACCCAUCCAGCAACCUUCCUCUUCGGCUCGGCUGGAGGGCCCAGGGAGCCCGUCCAGCAACCUUCCUCGUCAGCUGGGGGGCCCGAGGAGACUGUUCAGCCACCACCUGCAAUCAACACAUCAUGCUCGCCUGCAGCGGCCUCAUCCACGCCGCCUGCAGCAGCGGCCUCAUCCACACCACCUGCAGCAGCCGCCUGCAGCAGCGGCCUCAUCCACGCCGCCUGCAGCAGCGGCCUCAUCCACGCCGCCUGCAGCAGCAGCCUCAUCCACGCCGCCUUGUCCAGCCUCUGCCUCUUCUGGUGCUGCAGGGAUCACGCCACCUUCAGGUCCCAAACUGCUGCCUCAACAUCACCGGCCAUUUUCCAGGCCGCUGGCUGGUUAUCAUCGCUAUCGUGGACGCCCUCCUGAACGGGGUUGUCGCCGCCACUGCCUCCCGCUUGGCCGCCCUUCGGACUUCUGUUGCCGCCACUGCCUCCCACGAGGCCGGCCUCCUGAACUGUUUGCGCACCGCCACUGCCUUCUUCAUGGCCGGCCUCCUGAACUGUCUUAUCCUGGCCUUUCUGUGCUAUUGGCCCCCAGGCCGGCCACCUGAACUAUGUUUUGGGCUCUGCUCCUCUGUGUGCAUUUUGGACAUUUGGUUUGAAUUCCUGGGGGGCUCUUGUUUUGCUCUGUUCCGGGCCGUCCUUCCUGGACCCCCCACCGCCCACCUGGGUCUGGUGGUGUGUUUUUGUGGCUGUUGGGAGCCAGCCCUUGGGGGGGGGUACUGUCAUGAUCCUGGGUCGUUGACCCAGCGUUUUGUGUUUCCUUGGAUUUCAUUUGUGUUUUGAGUUUAUUCUGAUUUUGUAUUAGUUUAGGGUUGAACCUGUGUCUGAGCAGGUGUUCACAGACCCGGUGACAACUCCCUGCGGACACAACUUCUGCCAAACCUGCAUUCAGAGCAAGUGGGAAGGUAUUGACGUCUGCCAGUGCCCCGCGUGUGACAGGUCGUUCCCUUCAAGGCCCGAAAAAAGCAUAAAUAUAACUUUCAAAGAGCUCGCAGACACAUUCAAACAGAUGAUAGUCUGCUCAUCGGCCGCGCCGCUGUCUUCAGCCCAGCCGGGUGAGGUGGUGUGUGAUGUCUGUGCCGCCACGUCCCUGCAGGUAAAGGCAUUAAAGUCCUGCCUGGUGUGUCUGACAUCGUACUGCGAAUCCCACCUGGAGCCUCACAAGAGGGUGGUCACCCUGAAGCUGCACAAGCUCAUGGAGCCGGUGAAGAACCUGCAGGACAGGAUGUGUAAGAAGCACGAGCGGCUGCUGGAGAUGUUCUGCAGGGAUGAGCAGAAGUGUGUGUGCCAGUUCUGCACUGAGACUGAGCACAGAGAUCACAAGGUUGUUUCCGUAGAGGACGAGAGCACGGAGAGGAAGGUCCAGAUUAAGAAGAGUGAGGCCGAUUUUCAACAGAUGAUCCAGGAGCGACUGAAGAAAGUGGAGGAGAUCAAAAACUGUUUGAAGCUCAGCACGGUAAACUGAAAGCCUAGAAGGCAGCGGGUCCAGAUGGCAUCAGCUCAAGGGUCGUCAGGUCCUGCACAGACCAACUGUGUGGGGUGAUGGAGCUCAUCUUCAACCUGAGCCUGAGGCUGGGGAGAGUCCCACAGACAUCCACAGGCACAAAUAUCCUCCACUACAACCACUGAACAUCCAAGGUAUGGACAUUGAGGCUGUGGACAGCUACAGGUACCUUGGUGUUCAUCUGAACAAUAAACUGGACUGGACUCAUAAUUCAGAUGCUCU